rnacentral:rRNA from 1 species
AACGAACGCUGGCGGCAGGCCUAACACAUGCAAGUCGAGCGAGGACUUCGGUUCUAUCGGCUGACGGGUGAGUAACGCGUGGGAAUGUUCCCUUCUCUACGGACUGGCCCUGGGAAACUGGGAGUAAUACCGUAUACGCCCUAUUGGGGAAAGAUUUAUCGGAGAAGGAUCAGCCCGCGUUGGAUUAGGUAGUUGGUGGGGUAAUGGCCUCCCUAGCCGACGAUCCAUAGCUGGUUUGAGAGGAUGAUCAGCCACACUGGGACUGAGACACGGCCCAGAAUCCUACGGGAGGCAGCAGUGGGGAAUCUUAGACAAUGGGGGCAACCCUGAUGUAGCCAUGCCGCGUGAGUGAUGAAGGCCUUAGGGUUGUAAAGCUCUUUCAACUGGGAAGAUAAUGACGGUACCAUAAGAAGAAGCCCCGGCUAACUACGUG